rnacentral:tRNA from 1 species
UGGGGCGUCGUCCAAGGGUAGGACAUCAGACUUUGACUCUGAAUAUCGUGGUUCGAAUCCACGCGCCCCAG